AAUUUGUGAGCUUCUAGGAGACAGUGUGGGCAGUCCCUGGCACAUAAAAUGCAACUCACAAGCAUUGGUUUCCUCCACUUGUCUGUAAGGCAGCUAGGAGGGUUUCCAGGGCCCAAUAAUGGGUACAUAAAAAUUACCUGGCUGUAUCAAAGGAAAGGAUAAAAACAGAUUGGACUAUUAACUUGGGUGAUGUAAAUACUGAUAUUUUGGAAUGAGUAAAAUUGCUUUGGAUACCUUAAUUCUGAUGGGCUAUCCUAAAUUUCAGAGAAAACAUGUAAUGCUAGGAUGUCUACAUCAGACAGUAGAAAGCUGCUGAAGGAAGACUCCGGGGAUUAUGGAUGAGCUCUGCCUGUAACUUGCAGUGUGGCCUUGGAUCCAGUGGGCAGAGUCCGGGGCACUUUUGGUAAAGAGGCUGGGACUCUAUUCCCUGGGGUGAUGGAAGACUGGCUCUUGAGCUGCAUCCUUGGUAGCUUUUCCUUCUUCAUCUCAUUGCCAGUGAGGACACUGAGGAGGAGAAGGAGGUGAGGAGGAGGAAAAAGAUGAGGAAAAGGAGAAAACCAACCACGAUCCACUGUCACCAAAUGAGCAUGCCAGGUUGCCAUGCUGCACAGCUCCAAGAAGCACCACUGUCCAUGUGGUCAACAUGGAUGGAUCCCUGAGGAGGUGUCCAGCAGCAGCCUGCAUGCCAUGCGUGGCUCUGAAGUCAAUAAUCCUGGAAAAAGGGUCAUUCCUUCCCAAUAAACGACAGUGGGCUAUCUCCCGCAGACACCCACGAAAUUUCCCUCCUUUUCCUUCCAUGGAGGACUGGUGAAAACGUCAUCAUGGACCUGACCUGCAUCUGGAGACCAUCCCUCAGAGGUGCUGCAGAGCUCCUUUCUGCCCAGGCAUUUACGGUGGGUGAGAACUUGGAGAGGCGAGCUCACGAGGGAGUUGGGGUUUUGACUUGGCCAUGACUACUCAGCUCAGGAUGAAAGCUGAUACUUUCUGAGUGCAUUCUUUGAUUAACCCUUCAAUCCUCACAAUCACCCCAUGUCACCAGGAGGAAACUGAGGCAAAGUCCACACAACUGGCAAAUCUGGUAUGACUCUCUUUCUGUCACAGCAGUUUGCUGGCAACAGACCUACAGCCAGAUGCUCAGGGCAGUCCCGACAUCAGGCACAGCAGCUGCACUUUUCCGAAGCCCCUUUGCGGAUGCAGCCCU
rnacentral:lncRNA from 10 species